rnacentral:rRNA from 1 species
CAUCACUACGCUAGAUGCAUAUCAAUAAGCGAGGAAAAGAAACUAACAAGGAUUCCCUUAGUAACGGCGAGUGAAGCGGGAAGAGCUCAAAUUUGAAAUCUUCAAGGUUCUACCUUGACGAAUUGUAGUUUAUAAGAAGUGUUUUCUGUUAGUAGAGUUGGCUAAAAGUUCUUUGGAAUAGGACAUCAUAGAGGGUGAGAAUCCCGUAUUUGGUCAUUCCUCCUAGCUGUUGUGAUACACUUUCAACGAGUCGGAUUGUUUGGGAAUGCAGUCCAAAAUGGGUGGUAAAUUUCAUCUAAAGCUAAAUAUUGGCGAGAGACCGAUAGCGAACAAGUACCGUGAGAGAAAGAUGAAAAGAACUUUGAAAAGAGAGUUAAACAGUACGUGAAAUUGUCAAAAGGGAAGCGUUUGACACCAGUGUUGUUUAGUUGAAAAUCAAUUCAAUAAUUUUUGAUUUUAAGUAGUAUUGACUUCAUCAGCUUGCUGCUUUCUUUUCAGGAAUUAUUGAAUGCACUUUUCAGUUAUCAAGUCAACAUCAAUUUCUUUUGUUGUAAAAGGGUAAGAGGAAGGUGGCUUACGCUUCGGCGUAAGUGUUUAUAGCCUUUUACCUCUGCAAUCGGAGAGAUUGAGGACAGCAGCGUAGACUCUUCGGGGUUAGAUACACUUGUGCCAAGCUAUAGCCUUGUAUAGACAACUUGUUGACUAUGCUCAGUCAUGUAGCUUACUCGCUUGUGCUAUUUUACCUACGCUUAGGAUGUUGAUAUGCAUGACUGAUAU